UACGGAGGGUGCAAGCGUUAUCCGGAAUCAUUGGGUUUAAAGGGUCCGCAGGCGGUCAAUUAAGUCAGAGGUGAAAUCCCAUAGCUUAACUAUGGAACUGCCUUUGAUACUGUUAGUCUUGAGUCAUUUGGAAGUAGAUAGAAUGUGUAGUGUAGCGGUGAAAUGCAUAGAUAUUACACAGAAUACCGAUUGCGAAGGCAGUCUACUACGUAUAUACUGACGCUCAUGGACGAAAGCGUGGGGAGCGAACAGG
rnacentral:rRNA from 1 species